rnacentral:lncRNA from 1 species
UUGUGUGAGUUUGGUGUGAAACCAAAAGGUUGCUGUGAAGUUCUGAUGUUUUAGGCUUAGAGUUGGCUUUUUACUGAAAUUUAUUUGAGAACCAGCUUCUGAAUUGCUUGGAAAAGCAAAAACACGUAGAAAUCAAAUCACAAUUUAAAUAUUCCCGCAAAGCGAGGAAUUUUGAGAGUAACUUCUGCGUGCAACAUGCGAAAAGUGAGCGGCAGUGCUCUUCAACGUGGGCACGAAAUAAGCCACAUUCUGGUCCCCUUGCGGCGAUGUAAAUGGGGGAACAUCGAACAAAUUAUUCUUUCAGUUCUGAAAGUCUAAACUAAAUGGUAAUAUUAAUCAGAACAUCAAAAUUGAGGUAAAUAUUUAUUAUCUAUAGUAUAUAUGGAAGUGUGAACGUAUAUUAUUUUUGGUAUAUUUCUGGGGUAUUUUUGUGCUCACAUUUGAAACGCAAAAAUGCAUACGGGAGAGCGUUUAAUAGGAGAGAAUUUCCCUGACCGUUUAGAGACAGGAAUGAAUUUCCCUGUAUAUGAACAGCGCGCUCAGCUUGCUAUAUUUGAAUUGAACGCUCUUUUACUACCAGAAGAUGUCAAACUAUCGGUUGUUUUGCAACUUGUAGAGACAGGUGAAAGAGAGAGGAGCUACUAUACUCGUUACUAUCGAUGGUUGAGGAAUUAACCAACCAUCGAUAGUAACGAUGGUGCUACCGGUUUUUCUCCCAGCCCUGGUCACGCUGCGUGCGACGCCAAAAACCGCGUUUUUGUUUUUAUUGAAGAAAUUGCCUAAGAAACUUCCAAGAAUUGCACUGAUGUGGAGGGCGGAGGCGCAAUUAAGAAGCGCACCAUCGACGUGGAGGCUGGACGACUGCCAUACUUCUCGGAUUUGCAGCUGUGCCCAGUGGCCUGACGG